rnacentral:rRNA from 1 species
GUUUGAUCAUGGCUCAGAAUGAACGCUGGCGGCGUGCCUAAUACAUGCAAGUCGAACGCGAAAGUCGAAAGAUGAGUAGAGUGGCGCACGGGUGAGUAACGCGUAAGUGAUCUGCCCUUGGGAUCGGGAUAACACCGCGAAAGCGGUGCUAAUACCGGAUAAGCUCACGAGUUAGUAAUUGCUAGUGAGAAAAGGAUGGCCUCUCCAUGGAAGCUAUCGCUUGAGGAUGAGCUUGCGUACCAUUAGCUAGUUGGCGGUGUAAAGGACCACCAAGGCGAAGAUGGUUAGCUGGUCUGAGAGGACGACCAGCCACACUGGAACUGAGACACGGUCCAGACUCCUACGGGAGGCAGCAGUAGGGAAUUUUGCGCAAUGGGCGAAAGCCUGACGCAGCGACGCCGCGUGAGUGAAGAAGGCCUUCGGGUUGUAAAGCUCUGUCAGACGGGACGAAUAAGUGGACUCAAAUAGGGUUGCACGAUGACGGUACCGUCAGAGGAAGUUACGGCUAACUCUGUGCCAGCAGCCGCGGUAAUACAGAGGUAACAAGCGUUAUUCGGAAUUACUGGGCGUAAAGCGCAAGUAGGUGGGUAGACAAGUCAGUUGUGAAAUCCCCGGGCUCAACUUGGGAACUGCAAUUGAAACUGUCUGUCUGGAGCAUGGUAGAGGGAAGUGGAAUUCCUGGUGUAGAGGUGAAAUUCGUAGAUAUCAGGAGGAACACCUGCGGCGAAGGCGGCUUCCUGGACUAUUGCUGACACUGAGAGGCGAGAGCGUGGGUAGCAAACAGGAUUAGAUACCCUGGUAGUCCACGCUGUAAACGAUGUUCACUAGUGUUUUGAGGAUUUGACCCCUUGAGUGGCACAGUUAACGCAUUAAGUGAACC